ACCUAAAAUGAAUCCUCCACCAAGACCUAGAAGCCCACCAACAAUACCAGCCAAAAUGCCACAGCAACAGUAAAGAAUCAAUUGAUGGACUUUCCAGGUUAUUACUGCUUCCCCACUUGACAUGACCACCCUCGUUCCCUUAUACAAGCAAACUGCUUCAUAUGCAGAAGCUCCUACAGCAACAGGGACCUGUAAGACGUUUAAAAUCCAAUAUGUCGUUGAACAAGUUGAUGUAUAAGUCUUGAAGAUGUGCAAUACAAGGAGAAUGAUCCACACAGCAAUAAGUACGGUGAAAUCCUUCCAAUACACGUUGUCAACA
rnacentral:misc_RNA from 1 species